UACAGAGGGUGCGAGCGUUGUCCGGAAUCACUGGGCGUAAAGGGCGCGUAGGCGGCCUGGUAAGUAGGGGGUGAAAUCCUGCGGCUUAACCGCAGGGCUGCCUUCUAAACUGUCAGGCUUGAGCACGGUAGAGGCAGAUGGAAUUCCCGGUGUAGCGGUGGAAUGCGUAGAGAUCGGGAAGAACAUCAGCGGCGAAGGCGGUCUGCUGGGCCGUUGCUGACGCUGAGGCGCGACAGCGUGGGGAGCAAACAGG
rnacentral:rRNA from 1 species